UUACAUAUCUUUAUAGCUACAAAGCCCUGUGAGGUUUUGAAAAACUUCCUUGGUACCCAAAACCAGGUCUGAGGCACAGUCAGUGAAUACCUGUUUAAUGAAUGCAUGCAUAAAUGAAUGAAUGGAUGAUCCAGCUCUUCCUGGAGCAGGCACGACUUCCACAGAAACAAAAAGAGGGCACACGUGAGCCGGAAGCACAAGUGAGUCUUCUUCCUAUGUGAAGGGAUGUGGGGGUGGUACGCCCCUAUCAACUUUAUCUUUACAUAGUCCUUGAGCACCCACCGGGCGCCGGGUUCCCCGGACUAGAGGGAGGGAGAGGGGCGUCAGCUCCACCCUUAACAAGCUUAAUUCUUGAUGAGAUUAACCAUCAAAACCCAUCGGAGAACGUUAUAGCUCCAGCGCUGAAUGAGACAUCUUUGAUUCUGUGGUGAUGGCGGACUUUGUGCCUCUCUGUGAGGAAACACUUUGUUCCGAUGAUGCAGUUUUCCUCACAGUCCGGAAGUCUCCUGCACUGCCAGAAUUGCCCAGCUUCCCGGCACACCUAUCAACCAGUCAUUCCCAACACUGCCCAGUAUGCAGCCUCCCGGCAGAGGGCCUGGAUGUCUUGGCAGGUGUUUCUGAAAAAUCCAAUCCACCCUCCAAGGCGGAAAGUGUGCCAUCUCUGCCCAUAAUCCAAAUGGCAUGCCUGAGGCAUAGAAAGCAGCUUUCAGGGAGGCCCUCCUUCCUCUGAGCAACGGUGACAUCAUCAGAGAAGUGGAGCUCCUCCAAAAGGAUCUGCUGGAAGCAGAGGACGCCCAUGUCUCCUGGUGACUCCCUCUGACCCAACAAGUUGCAGCACCUCUGCUGGGCUUUGCCACUGCCCCAUUUUUGCCAGAGCCUCACCCUGGUGGGGCCCCACCUCUGGGAAGCCCCAGCGCCUGCAAGAUUUUUUCCUCUCGUGACAGGGAGCAGCAUGCGGAGGGCCCUUGCACAACCUGGGUC